rnacentral:rRNA from 1 species
AACGAACGCUGGCGGCAGGCUUAACACAUGCAAGUCGAGCGCGUAGCAAUACGAGCGGCAGACGGGUGAGUAACGCGUGGGAAUCUACCCAUCACUAGGGAAUAACUCAGGGAAACUUGUGCUAAUACCCUAUACGACCGAGAGGUGAAAGAUUUAUCGGUGAUGGAUGAGCCCGCGUUGGAUUAGCUAGUUGGUGGGGUAAAGGCCUACCAAGGCGACGAUCCAUAGCUGGUCUGAGAGGAUGAUCAGCCACACUGGGACUGAGACACGGCCCAGACUCCUACGGGAGGCAGCAGUGGGGAAUAUUGGACAAUGGGCGCAAGCCUGAUCCAGCCAUGCCGCGUGAGUGAUGAAGGCCCUAGGGUUGUAAAGCUCUUUCACCGGUGAAGAUAACGACGGUAACCGGAGAAGAAGCCCCGGCUAACUUCGUGCCAGCCGCCGCUGUAAAAC